UACGUAGGGGGCUAGCGUUGUCCGGAAUCAUUGGGCGUAAAGAGCGUGUAGGCGGCUCGGUAAGUCCGCUGUGAAAGUCCAGGGCUCAACCCUGGAAUGCCAGUGGAAACUGUCGAGCUAGAGUCCGGGAAGAGGCGAGUGGAAUUCCUGGUGUAGCGGUGAAAUGCGCAGAUAUCAGGAGGAACACCAAUGGCGAAGGCAGCUCGCUGGGACGGUACUGACGCUGGAGACGCGAAAGCGUGGGGAGCAAACAGG
rnacentral:rRNA from 1 species